AUGCAUUCAUCUGAUAGACCUGAAGUUCCUCACCGUGACUUCUGGGUUUGCAAUUGGAUGCUAAAUGAAAUAUUUCCUUGACUUUCCCCGACUGCCUGACGGAUAGAGAAGAGGAACACAUGGUGUUUAGUGGCUGAGUGGCUGUACGGAUAGAGAAGAGGAACACAUGG